AAGGGAAAAAUAUAUAAACAUAACUUGUUACAUCUGGUUCUAAUAUCACCAGAAACAAAACUGAACGCGGUGGCAAUAUUGUAAUUAUGACGAAAAUUAUCUAAAAUAAAUAUAUAUCUGGCCAUACAUAGAGUCAGAUGUAAAAUGUCAUGUUGAGUAAAAAAAAAAAAAAAUUUUUUGGACAAACUUGACUUAAGUGAGAAAAACACUCACGCGUACGAUUCAUACACACAAUCUUCGCCAACUUCAAACCUCAAGAACAGUCACGCGAUUUUCCCAAAUCCUCAAUAACAACAAACCCUCAAUUCCUCUCUCGAUUCGAAACUCUC
rnacentral:lncRNA from 1 species